AGAGUUUGAUCCUGGCUCAGAUUGAACGCUGGCGGCAUGCCUUACACAUGCAAGUCGAACGGCAGCACGGACUUCGGUCUGGUGGCGAGUGGCGAACGGGUGAGUAAUGUAUCGGAACGUACCUUUCAGUGGGGGAUAACGUAGCGAAAGUUACGCUAAUACCGCAUAUUCUGUGAGCAGGAAAGCAGGGGAUCGCAAGACCUUGCGCUGAUUGAGCGGCCGAUAUCAGAUUAGCUAGUUGGUGGGGUAAAGGCCUACCAAGGCUACGAUCUGUAGCGGGUCUGAGAGGAUGAUCCGCCACACUGGGACUGAGACACGGCCCAGACUCCUACGGGAGGCAGCAGUGGGGAAUUUUGGACAAUGGGGGCAACCCUGAUCCAGCCAUGCCGCGUGAGUGAAGAAGGCCUUCGGGUUG
rnacentral:rRNA from 1 species